rnacentral:rRNA from 1 species
UGGGGAAUCUUGGACAAUGGGCGCAAGCCUGAUCCAGCCAUGCCGCGUGAGUGAUGAAGGCCUUAGGGUCGUAAAGCUCUUUCGCCAGAGAUGAUAAUGACAGUAUCUGGUAAAGAAACCCCGGCUAACUCCGUGCCAGCAGCCGCGGUAAUACGGAGGGGGUUAGCGUUGUUCGGAAUUACUGGGCGUAAAGCGCACGUAGGCGGAUCAGAAAGUAUAGGGUGAAAUCCCAGGGCUCAACCCUGGAACUGCCUUAUAAACUCCUGGUCUUGAGUUCGAGAGAGGUAAGUGGAAUUCCGAGUGUAGAGGUGAAAUUCGUAGAUAUUCGGAGGAACACCAGUGGCGAAGGCGGCUUACUGGCUCGAUACUGACGCUGAGGUGCGAAAGUGUGGGGAGCAAACAGGAUUAGAUACCCUGGUAGUCCACACCGUAAACGAUGAAUGCCAGACGUCAGCAAGCAUGCUUGUUGGUGUCACACCUAACGGAU